UGAUAAGCGUGAGGUCGGAAGUUCAAGUCUUCCCAGGCCCACCACUUUCAUCGAGUGUAAGCAUUCGUCUUCUGGUUACGGGGCCAUAGCUCAGCUGGGAGAGCGCGUGCUUUGCAAGCAUGAGGUCGUCGGUUCGAUCCCGUCUGGCUCCACCAGAUGGUUUGAUCGCCAACGCUCUGAUUGCAGAUCUACAACCGUCGUCCGCGAAACAUCACUUCGCACCCACUAGUCCGGAUGGACGGUGAGGUUGCGUGAUUUCUGACAUCGUAAAGAGGAGAUCGAUCCGAGUUGGAUCGUGCAGCAGAUUGUUGCGCGAGCCUUCAUUAUCUCCGGAUCAUUUCGGCGCUCGCUUUCGACCGUGAGGUUGAUUGCGAGUUGUAAAUGAUCCUUUUAGCGAAGCUUGACCGCCUCGCUAUCGGAACGAUCUUACGAAGCAAGCUGGUCUUUCUAGUCAAUGUCCGGCUGCGACAAUCGCGUUCAUCGAGGACGCGUGCCUUCGAUGGCAGUUGCGCAGACAACAUUCUGCCGAGUGUGUGGACAUUGAUAAUGAGAGCAAUCAAGUGCCUUAAGGGUGUUCGGUGGAUGCCUUGGCGCUGAGAGGCGAUGAAGGACGUGCUACGCUGCGAUAAGCCGUGGGGAGCUGCGAAGAAGCUU
rnacentral:misc_RNA from 1 species